GACGAACGCUGGCGGCGUGCUUAACACAUGCAGGUCGAACGGAAAGGCCCUGCUUUUGUGGGGUGCUCGAGUGGCGAACGGGUGAGUAACACGUGAGUAACCUGCCCUUGACUUUGGGAUAACUUCAGGAAACUGGGGCUAAUACCGGAUAGGAGCUCCUGCUGCAUGGUGGGGGUUGGAAAGUUUCGGCGGUUGGGGAUGGACUCGCGGCUUAUCAGCUUGUUGGUGGGGUAGUGGCUUACCAAGGCUUUGACGGGUAGCCGGCCUGAGAGGGUGACCGGCCACAUUGGGACUGAGAUACGGCCCAGACUCCUACGGGAGGCAGCAGUGGGGAAUAUUGCACAAUGGGCGGAAGCCUGAUGCAGCAACGCCGCGUGCGGGAUGACGGACUUCGGGUUGUAAACCGCUUUCGCCUGUGACGAAGCGUGAGUGACGGUAAUGGGUAAAGAAGCACCGGCUAACUACGUG
rnacentral:rRNA from 1 species